rnacentral:lncRNA from 1 species
UUUAGGGUUAGAAAGGGUUUAGGUUAGGUAGGGUUAGUAGGGUUUAGGGUUAGGGUUAGGUAGGGUUAAGGGUUAGGUUUUAGGUUAGGUAGGGUUUAGGGUUAGGUAGGGUUUAGGGUUACGUAGGGUUUAGAAUUAGGUAGGGUUUAGGGUUAGUAGGGUUAGUAGGGUUUAGGGUUAGUAGGGUUUAGGGUUAGGUAGGGUUUAGGGCUAGAAAGGGUUUAGGGUUAGAAAGGUUUUAGGGUUAGGUAGGGUUUAGGGUUAGUAGGGUUUAGGGUUAGAUAGGGUUUAGAAUUAGUUAGGGUUUAGGGUUAGCAUGGUUUAGGGUUAGAAAGGGUUUAGGGUUAGUAGGAUUUAGGGCUAGAAAGGUUUAGGUACGGUUUAGGGUUAGGCAUGGUUUAGGGUUAGAUCAGGUUUAGGGUUAGAAGGGGUUUAUGGUUAGGUAGGGUUUAGGGUUAGAAGGAGGGUUAGGUAGGGUUUAGGGUUAGAAAGGGUUUAGGGUAGGUAGGGUUUAGGGUUAGGUAGGGUUUAGGUUUAGGUAGGGUUUAGGGUUAAGAAGGGUUUAUGGUUAGUUGGGUUUAAGGUUAGUAGGGUUUAGGGUUAGGUAGGGUAUAGGGCUAGAAAGGGUUUAGGGUUAGAAAGGGUUUAGGUUAGGUAGGGUUAGUAGGGUUUAGGGUUAUGUAGGGUUAAGGUAAGGUAGGGUUUAGGGUUAGGUAGGAUUUAGGGUUAGGUUUUAGGUAGGGUUUUAGGGUUAGGAGGGGUUUAGGAUUAGGUAGGGUUUAGGGUUAAAUAGGGUUUAGGGUUAGGUAGGUUUACGGUUAGAUAGGUUUAGGGUUUAGGUACUAUGAAGGGUUUAGGGAUUAGGGUUACGUUUAUGUAGGGUUUAGGGUUAGAUAGGGUUAAGGUCUAGGUUUAGGUAGGGUUUAGGGUUAGGUAGGAUUUAGGGUUUAUGUAGUAGAAAAGGUUUAGCGUUUGGUUUAGCGUUUGGUUUAGCGUUUGGUUUAGGUUGGGUUUAAGGUUUGGUUUAGAAUAAUACUUAGGAUUAUAAGGUUUAAAGUUUUUUUUUUUUAUGUAUUUAGUGCUGAAUUUUUCGGAUAAAUUUAAUAUUAUUGAUUCAUAAUUUUUUUAAAAAUGUUAAAAAUUUUAACGUGAUUUUUAAUGUUCUUAAAACAAAGUAUGUAUUUUUUUAUUAAGUUUUUUGUGACAAAUAUAUAUUAAAUCACAAAUCAUUAAUAUUCUUAGUCUUAUACAUUUUAUUCUUCGAGUUAUCGUUACUUUUAUUUCUUUUUAUACAUUUCACUAAAUAUUUAUGUAUGCAUCCAUAAUAUUUUUUAAAAAGGAUUUUUCAUUAACUAAUGUAUUUGUUGUAGUUUUAAAUAUAUUAUAGUUUUCGUGCUCUUGGUUAAAUUUUUUUGGCGUUGGUGAUAUUUGAAGUGGUUGAGAAUAUGAAUGGAUAUUUACUUUCGUAAAGUUUUUGGUGUAAGUUUAAAAAUAAAAAUUUGUAAAUGCUUUUAAAUCAUAUGAAUAUAAUAUUCAACACACUAUUGUUAACUGUUUAUAUACUUAAAAUUUUGAAGUAGGUAAUUGCAAAUUUGCUGAACUCAUAGAUUCAUUGCUACUUUAUAAAUUAUCACAGGAUGAGGUACAUAUGUUAAAUAUUGCUUUGAUGAUAAUAUAACGUUCAUAUCGUAAUGCGUGUUUUUUUUUGUUUUAUCUACUAUGUAUUAAGAAAUAAUUAACACAUUCAAUAAUAUUAAAGAGUAAAAAGUCCCUGUCAAUUGUUUAUAGUAGGCCUGGGCAUUCGGGUCGUCGGAUAGGAUUCGGGUCGGGUCCUUUCGGGUUCGGAUCUUUCGGGUCUAAGAGUUUAGGACCCGAUAGAGUAAUUUAAAAAUUUCGGUUCCGGGUCGGUCCGGGUUGUGCCGGGUCCGGGUCGGGUCUUAGAUAGUUAGACCCAUUCGGAUAAUUAGAAUUUAUCGGUUCGGAUUCGGUUCGGUUUCGGGUCGGGUUCGGUUUCGGAUCGGGUUCGGUUCAGGUUGAUCUAAAAAAGACCUAAAAAUACAAAAAUAUAUUUGAAAAUAUUUAUAUAUCCGAAAAUAUUCAAAAUUUUAUUCAAAAUUUAUGUUUUUAUUAUAUUAAAAUGUGUAUAUAUACUAAACUAUGCGAAAUACAAUAACAAUUUGUUGUCUCCUAGUGACCCCCAUGUUCUCUAGACAAAUAACCCAUCUUCGAUUCCCCCUUAAUGCAUGAUCUUGUUUUUCUCACGGUAGUUGAGAAGGAAACGCCUCAACACCCUCAUUCUAUUCAUCCAGAGAAACUUGGUCGGUUGCCUCGCCUCUCUUGUGCCCUUUCUCUUACCUGAAAACCCAAUAAACGUUGAAUAAGGAAAUCUCAAAUCUAUCACAAGCUUAUAAAAAAAAAUGCGACCAAAAAAAUAGAUUUUGCAUUCAUUACCAGAACCAGAGUGACGACCCUUUCGUUUGGCCUCGUUCAAAGUCCUUGCAUGAGCACGUGAGUGGAUCUUGGAGAGUUUCCUGAUAAUUAAACCAUCCUUGACAAGAGUCCUAAGGGCAUGAUUAUCCCUGAUAGGUUUCUUAGGAAAUUUUUUUUUCUUUUUCCAUCUGAAAAAAAAAAUUUAAAGGGAACCAAUCGCGGGCCGCCAUGCGUCGGUGAAGCCCACGAACAGUGCAAAGAUCCAACGUAAAUCGGUCCUUAUUUUGUAGUUUUUGUUACCGGUUAUUUAGUUUUUGCUGGGACCCCAUAAUUUUAAUAAAAUUUUUUUGCUAAAGACCCCUUUUAAGGAUCCAAGGAUGUUGAUGGUCUAAUGUUCUGCCCUGAUAGAGUUAUGGGAAAUUGGGUAUCAUGUCCAUAGUGGAAUAAAAAUUAAGUGUAUAACCAUAACAAAAAAUAGGUUAUGAUAUUUGAAUAUCAUUUGCCAUAUUACCCUUUCUCAUUUUCACCUCUCUUUUUAAUUAACUUUAUAAGUUUGAAAAAUUAUAAUUUAAAUUUCUUAUAUACUUAUAAAAAACAUAGAUUUUUUUUCGUAUAUGACAUGUUUUGAAUUUUGUAAAACUAACAUAUAUUUAUAAAAUUGAAUAUAUACAAUAAUAAUAAAGUUUUGUUCUAUUCUAUUACAUAAAGUUAUAUAGAAUAGUAGUGAUAAAAUUCAUCUUUCCUCAAUCUCCCUCCCCAAUCUCCAUCCACAUAUCCCUUUUUCUUUUCCUUCUCCCUCUCUCUUUCAUUUCUUUUUUCCUUCUCUCUCUAUAAUAUAUAAUGUUCAAAAAUUAUAUUAUUGUAUUCUAUUCUAUUUAAAAGUAUAAAAUAAUUUAUAAAAUAAAAAUUGCACUUUUUCUUUCUCCUCUUUUUCUCCUCCCAAAUUCUCUCUCUCUUCACUCCUACCCCUCCCCCGCCUCUUCUCUCCUCUUACUUUCCUCUCUCUCUCUCUCUCCAUUUUCCUCUUUGUACUUCUUUCCUCUUCUUUUUUUAUCAUCCCAUCAUGUUCUUUAUACUCUUCUAUUUAUUAGACAUUAUGCAUCUUUUCAGCUUCGUCCGUAAACUCUUUUUUCAUUUUUAUCAUCCCCGUCUUCGCUUUUCUUCCUUUCCCCCUUACUCUCAAUAUUUUUUUUCAUAUACAUAUAUCCACAUGAUAUACUAUAUGGUCAUCAAAUAUAGAAUGGUAUAUUUUAUUUUGUAAUAUAUCAACUAAUUAUGUUAUUUCACAUAAUUUAUUUUACAUUAAACACUUGUCCUACGAAUAAAUAUGCUUGUUCAUAUUGUCCACUGAUUAAAUUGCAUUGAACCCUAUAAAUAAAUAGUAUUAAAAAAAUUAUAUUAUUCUCUAUUGUUAUAUUUAUGUUCGAAAUAAUCCAUUCUAUAUUGACAACAUAAAUAGAAUAGUAUUGGUUGUAGUGUGUGAUAUACACACAUUCACGCGCUCGUAAAGGACUAUAAUGUCCAAUAAUAUGGCAAAUUGACACAUUUUUCAACACAUAGCUAUAUUCUUUAUUUUUUCUCAAUAUGGUUAUACAGCAAAAUCACCCUAGAGUUAUUUAUAUAAUAAAUUAAUCAGUAUAUUAAGAACUAGGUGUUUUGUCCGCGAUGCGGGCUUAAACAUUUUCAUAAAUUUUUUAAAAGUUCUUUGUAUACCAUACUAGUUAUAUUGUGUUUUCCAAAAAGAAUUCUUGCGAUCAAUUUAGUAUCAUCUAUGCAUUGUCUACUCUCGAAUAUAUAAAUAUAUAUAUUUCUGAACAAUUAAAUAUUAAAAUAUUUUAGUGGUAUAAUUUAAACUUGGGUCUCUAGUCAAAAAACAAAACUUGUUUCCAAUUUAUGUAAAGAAUAUUAUUUUUUUGAAUGAGCAAAGAUUUAAGGAUGGUUAUUGUUUUAAGAACAUUAACUUGUUAUUUCUGAAUAAUUAAAUAUUAAAAUAUUUUAGUGGUAUAAUUUAAAGUUGGGUCUCUAGUCAAAAAACAAAACUUGUUUGCAAUUUAUGUAAAGAAUAUUAUUUUUUGUGAAUGAGCAAAGCUUUAAGGAUGGUUAUUGGCAAAUAAAUGUUUGAGAACUUUAAUUUUUUUUUUUAGAUUCUACAGCUAUAAUAGUUUAAGGGUUUUUGAAAUAUUACUAAUUAAUUGUUAUUGAUUCGAAGAUUUUCAAAUUUCAUCAAAAUUCUUUAUUUAUUUGUGAUAAUAGUUUUUCAUUCUAUUUUAACAAAAUUUAACGUUAUUAAAAUAUAAUUUACCUUUAUUAUUCAUAAGAUACAACUUUCAAAAUAUUUUGGCAAUUAAAAUAAUGGAUGUAAGAUUUAAAAUCCGCUAUGUAAUUUGUUAUUUGAAUAUCACAACAGCAAAUUACAUAUCGGUAGAGUUUAGGUUUUUUUAACUUUAAGUUUUGAGAUUAUUUUUUAGUGUUUAGGGUUGGUAGAGUUUUAGCGUUAGAUGAGAUUAUUUAUGUAAUUUGUUAUUUGAAUAUCACAACAGCAAAUUACAUAUGGUGGUAGAGUUUAGGUUUUUUUAACUUUAAGUUUUGAGAUUAUUUUUUAGUGUUUAGGGUUGGUAGAGUUUUAGCGUUAGAUGAGAUUUAUGGUUAGGUUUAGGUAGAGUUUUAGGGUUAGGUUUAGGCAGAGUUUAGGGUUAGCAGGGUUUAGGGUUAGGUAGGGUUUAGGGUUAGAAAGGGUUUAGGGUUAAAAAGGGUUUAGGGUGGGUAGGGUUAAGGGUUAGGUAGGGUUUAGGGUUAGGUAGGGUUUAGGGUUAGUAGGGUUUAGGGUUAGUAGGGUUAGGUAGGGUUUAGGGUUAGUAGGGUUUAGGGAUAGUAGGGUUUAGGGUUAGGUAGGGUUUAGGGCUAGAAAGGGUUUAGGGUUAAAAAGGUUUUAGGGUUGGGUAGGGUUUAGGUUAGGUAGGGUUUAGGGUUAGUAGGGUUUAGGGUUAGGUAGUGUUUAGAAUUAGGUAGGGUUUAGGGUUAGCAUGGUUUAGGGUUAGAAAGGGUUUAGGGUUAUGAUUUAAGGCUAGAAUGGGUUAGGUAGGGUUUAGGGUUAGAAAGGGUUUAGGGUUAGAAGGGGUUUAGGGUUACGUAGGGUUUAGGGUUAGAAAGGGUUUAGGGUAGGUAGGGUUUAGGGUUAGGUAGGGUUUAGAAUUAGGUAGGGUUUAGGGUUAGCAUGGUUUAGGGUUAGAAAGGGUUUAGGGUUUAGGGUUAGGUCAUGUUUAGGGUUAGAAGGGGUUUAGGGUUAGGUAGGGUUUAGGGUUUAGGGUUAGAAAGGGUUUAGGGUUAGAAGGGGUUUAGGGUUACGUAGGGUUUAGGGUUAGAAAGGGUUUAGGGUAGGUAGGGUUUAGGGUUAGGUAGGGUUUGAGGUUAGGUAGGGUUUAGGGUUAGAAAGGGUUUAGGGUUAGUAAGGUUUAAGGUUAGUAGGGUUUAGGGUUAAGUAGAGUUUAGGGCUAGAAAGGGUUUAGGGUUAGAAAGGGUUUAGGUUAGGUAGGGUUAGUAGGGUUUAGGGUUAGGGUUAGGUAGGGUUAAGGGUUAGGUUUUAGGUUAGGUAGGGUUUAGGGUUAGGUAGGGUUUAGGGUUACGUAGGGUUUAGAAUUAGGUAGGGUUUAGGGUUAGUAGGGUUAGUAGGGUUUAGGGUUAGUAGGGUUUAGGGUUAGGUAGGGUUUAGGGCUAGAAAGGGUUUAGGGUUAGAAAGGUUUUAGGGUUAGGUAGGGUUUAGGGUUAGUAGGGUUUAGGGUUAGAUAGGGUUUAGAAUUAGUUAGGGUUUAGGGUUAGCAUGGUUUAGGGUUAGAAAGGGUUUAGGGUUAGUAGGAUUUAGGGCUAGAAAGGUUUAGGUACGGUUUAGGGUUAGGCAUGGUUUAGGGUUAGAUCAGGUUUAGGGUUAGAAGGGGUUUAUGGUUAGGUAGGGUUUAGGGUUAGAAGGAGGGUUAGGUAGGGUUUAGGGUUAGAAAGGGUUUAGGGUAGGUAGGGUUUAGGGUUAGGUAGGGUUUAGGUUUAGGUAGGGUUUAGGGUUAAGAAGGGUUUAUGGUUAGUUGGGUUUAAGGUUAGUAGGGUUUAGGGUUAGGUAGGGUAUAGGGCUAGAAAGGGUUUAGGGUUAGAAAGGGUUUAGGUUAGGUAGGGUUAGUAGGGUUUAGGGUUAUGUAGGGUUAAGGUAAGGUAGGGUUUAGGGUUAGGUAGGAUUUAGGGUUAGGUUUUAGGUAGGGUUUUAGGGUUAGGAGGGGUUUAGGAUUAGGUAGGGUUUAGGGUUAAAUAGGGUUUAGGGUUAGGUAGGUUUACGGUUAGAUAGGUUUAGGGUUUAGGUACUAUGAAGGGUUUAGGGAUUAGGGUUACGUUUAUGUAGGGUUUAGGGUUAGAUAGGGUUAAGGUCUAGGUUUAGGUAGGGUUUAGGGUUAGGUAGGAUUUAGGGUUUAUGUAGUAGAAAAGGUUUAGCGUUUGGUUUAGCGUUUGGUUUAGCGUUUGGUUUAGGUUGGGUUUAAGGUUUGGUUUAGAAUAAUACUUAGGAUUAUAAGGUUUAAAGUUUUUUUUUUUUAUGUAUUUAGUGCUGAAUUUUUCGGAUAAAUUUAAUAUUAUUGAUUCAUAAUUUUUUUAAAAAUGUUAAAAAUUUUAACGUGAUUUUUAAUGUUCUUAAAACAAAGUAUGUAUUUUUU